GACAGAGGUGGCGAGCGUUGUUCGGAAUUAUUGGGCGUAAAGGGUGUGUAGGUGGUUGGAUAAGUCAGAGGUGAAAGCCCACAGCUUAACUGUGGAAGUGCCUUUGAAACUAUCUGACUAGAGUGCAGGAGAGGAGGGUGGAAUUCCCGGUGUAGAGGUGAAAUUCGUAGAUAUCGGGAGGAACACCAGCGGCGAAGGCGGCCCUCUGGACUGCAACUGACACUGAAACACGAAAGCGUGGGGAGCAAACAGG
rnacentral:rRNA from 1 species